rnacentral:tRNA from 2 species
GCCCAGGUGGCGGAACUGGCAGACGCGCUACCUUGAGGUGGUAGUCCCAGAAAUGGGGUGGAGGUUCGAGUCCUCUCCUGGGCA